rnacentral:rRNA from 1 species
CAGCCGCCGCGGGAAAACGAAGGGGGCUAGCGUUGUUCGGAAUUACUGGGCGUAAAGCGCACGUAGGCGGAUAUUUAAGUCAGGGGUGAAAUCCCAGAGCUCAACUCUGGAACUGCCUUUGAUACUGGGUAUCUUCAGUAUGGAAGAGGUGAGUGGAAUUCCGAGUGUAGAGGUGAAAUUCGUAGAUAUUCGCAAGAACACCAGUGGCGAAGGCGGCUUACUGGCUCGAAACUGACGCUGAGGCGCGAAAGCGUGGGGAGCAAACAGGAUUAGAUACCCCCGUAGUCCCUGUCUCUUAUAC